UGCAACACCGAAGGUUUUUUUCAGUGUUGAACCGCUUCGCAAUUCGCGUGCACUGUGGCCGGCCUUCAAAAGCGAACUUGCGAAAUUCAUCCGGUGAAUGAAUAUUUCGCUUCGCAGUUCGCUUCGCGCUCACUGUGUUCGUACCCUAAGUCAGCUUACUUGUUGUCGUCGGAAGUCGACCAGUAGACCACACUUGUCAUCCUGCGGGGCCCUGGCACAAGCAACGUAAAUCCGAGCGUUGACAGCGUGGAGCUUCGGAGGAAGCUUCUGGAAGCUCCACCGAGUAGAAAAUGAAGGACCGUUUGAAGGAGCCGUCGGCAUCGAGGAGAUGAUCCCAGUCAAAUAGAUUUCGUAGGUGUUGGAGGUAUAUUUCAAGUGGCAAUGGAUGGCGCACAAGGAUUCCACUUAGCAAGAGGUCCCGAAAUUGAAUGUUCUAAAUGUACGUGUAUGAACAGUGAUGGUAGUUGAAAUAAAUUAUGUUUGCGA